UAUGUGAUCGUCUCUCGCAUAUCAAUAAGCGGAGGAAAAGAAACUAACAAGGAUUCCCCUAGUAACGGCGAGUGAAGCGGGAAGAGCUCAAAUUUGAAAUCUUAAAGGGUUUCCCUUUACGAAUUGUAGUUUAAAGAAGUGUUUUCUGUUGAGGUUUUGGUAAAAGUUCUUUGGAAUAGGACAUCAUAGAGGGUGAGAAUCCCGUAUUUGACCUUUACUUUCAACUUUGUGAUACACUUUCAAAGAGUCGGAUUGUUUGGGAAUGCAGUCCAAAAUGGGUGGUAAAUUUCAUCUAAAGCUAAAUAUUGGCGAGAGACCGAUAGCGAACAAGUACCGUGAGGGAAAGAUGAAAAGAACUUUGAAAAGAGAGUUAAACAGUACGUGAAAUUGUCAAAAGGGAAGCGUUUGACACCAGUGUUGUUUUUCUGAAAAUCAAUUAAAGAACUGUUUAUGCUAAGCUGUUUAGACUUUAUCAGCUUAACUGUUUAGUUUUGAGCUUUUCUUUAAUGCACUUUUCAGUUAACAAGUCAACAUCAAUUUCUUUUGCUGUAAAAAAGCUUGAGGAAGGUGGCUUGAGAUUCGUCUUAAGUGUUUAUAGCCUCUUGCCUAUGCAGUCGGAGAGAUUGAGGUCUGCAGCGUAGAUCCUUCGGGGCUAAAUGCAUUUGUGCUAAGUUAUAGCAUUUUAUAGACAACUUGUUGACUAUGAUUUGUCUUGUAGCUUACUCGCUUAUGUUAUUUUACCUACGCUUAGGAUGUUGAUCUACAGAGCGAGAGU
rnacentral:rRNA from 1 species